rnacentral:rRNA from 1 species
GAUGAAGAACGCAGCGAAAUGCGAUAAGUAGUGUGAAUUGCAGAAUUCAGUGAAUCAUCGAAUCUUUGAACGCACAUUGCGCCCCUUGGUAUUCCAUGGGGCAUACUUGUUCGAGCGUCAUUU